GACGAACGCUGGCGGCGUGCUUAACACAUGAAGUCAACAAACACUGGCGAACGGGUGAGUAAUCCGUGGGUAACCUGCCCUCUUUUUGGGAUAAGCAUUGGAAACGUGGGCUACUACCGAAUCAAGGGGGAUGGGCUCGGGGCCUAUUGGCUGGUUGGUGGGGUGAUGGCCGACCAAGGCGGUGACGGGUGGCAGGCCGGAGAGGGUGACCUGCAACAUUGGGAGUGAGAUACGGCCCAGACUCCUACGGGAGGCAGCAGUGGGGAAUAUUGCACAAUGGGCGCAAGCCUGAUGCAGCCAUGCCGCGUGUAUGAAGAAGGCCCUAGGGUUGUAAAGUACUUUCAGUCGGGAGGCGUUACCGACAGAAGAAGCACCGGCUAACUCCGGGCCAGCAGCCGCGGUAAUAC
rnacentral:rRNA from 1 species